rnacentral:rRNA from 1 species
CCUACGGGAGGCAGCAGUGGGGAAUUUUGGACAAUGGGAGCAACCCUGAUCCAGCAAUGCCGCGUGAGUGAAGAAGGCCUUCGGGUUGUAAAGCUCUUUUGUCAGGGAAGAAACGGCGGAGACUAAUACUUUCUGCUAAUGACGGUACCUGAAGAAUAAGCACCGGCUAACUACGUGCCAGCAGCCGCGGUAAUACGUAGGGUGCAAGCGUUAAUCGGAAUUACUGGGCGUAAAGCGUGCGCAGGCGGUUGUGCAAGACCGAUGUGAAAUCCCCGGGCUUAACCUGGGAAUGGCAUUGGUGACUGUACGGCUAGAGUGUGUCAGAGGGGGGUAGGAAUUCCACGUGUAGCAGUGAAAUGCGUAGAGAUGUGGAGGAAUACCGAUGGCGAAGGCAGCCCCCUGGGAUAACACUGACGCUCAUGCACGAAAAGACGUGGGGAGCAAACAGGAAUUAGAUACCCUGUAGUCCACGCCCUAAACAACUAGUNUACUAGUUAGUUCGGGUCGUUCUAUUNUAUUAGUUAGUACGAGACGACGACGACGAGAGAACGACGACGG